rnacentral:rRNA from 1 species
CUCGUGGUACUAAGUAUUACGUACAACCCAGAUUUUUCUGGUGAUUCAUACUUAUCUUCUGAUCGAACUUCGUGUUCGACGCCUCGAUUAAAUUUCUGACCUAUCAACUAUGAUGGUAAGGUAGGGUCUUACCAUGGUUGGGACGGGUAACGGACCGUGGGUGCGGGAUUCCGGAGAGGGAGCCUGAGAAACGGCUACCACAUCCAAGGAAGGCAGCAGGCGCGCAACUUACCCAAUCCGAACUUCGGGAGGUAGUGACAAAAAAUAUCAAUAGGGGGACCAAUGGUCUUCCUAAUUGGGAACUUCGGGAGGUAGUGACAAAAAAUAUCAAUAGGGGGACCAAUGGUCUUCCUAAUUGGAA